rnacentral:rRNA from 1 species
GGUAGCGUAAUCCGUUGGCUUUUAAAUGGAGUCCGGAAUGAAUGGGAAAACCGGGUUUAGCUGUCGAGGCUUACUUACUUGAAUUUGCUUUUUAAGUGAAAAAGCUUAAAAGAAAAAAAAAGACGAGAAGACCCUUAGAACUUUAAUUAUAGAACAUCUAACGUUUUUAUUGGGGCGAUAAAGAAACAUUGAAACUUUCUGUAAAAACAAGCCGAUUUUAUUAUGGGAGAAUAAGUUACCUGAGGGAUAACAGCAUAAUUUUAUAAUUAAGUUUGUGACCUCGAUGUUG